GACGAACGCUGGCGGCGUGCUUAACACAUGCAAGUCGAACGGUGAAGCGCCUUCCUUUUUGGUGGGUGUGGAUGAGUGGCGAACGGGUGAGUAACACGUGAGUAACCUGCCCCCUUCUUCUGGAUAACCGCAUGAAAGUGUGGCUAAUACGGGAUAUUCUGGGUCUGUCGCAUGAUGGGUCUGGGAAAGAUAUUGUUUCGGUGGGGGAUGGGCUCGCGGCCUAUCAGCUUGUUGGUGGGGUGAUGGCCUACCAAGGCGGUGACGGGUAGCCGGCAUGAGAGGGUGGACGGCAACAGUGGGACUGAGACACGGACAAGACUACUACGGGAGGCAGCAGUGGGGAAUAGUGCACAAUGGGAGCAAGCCUGAUGCAGCGACGCCGCGUGAGGGAUGGAGGCCUGCGGGUUGUGAACCUCUUUCGCCAGUGAAGCAGGCCUGCCUCGUUUGUGGGUGGGUUGACGGUAGCUGGAUAAGAAGCGCCGGCUAACUACGUG
rnacentral:rRNA from 1 species